GGCCGCCUGGCGAAAUGGCAUCGCGUCUGACUACGAUCAGCCAGAAUUGACUGCUUAGAUGAUCAGGAGAUUGCAGGUUCGACCCCUGCGGUGGUCA